GUUGAACGCUGGCGGCAGGCCUAACACAUGCAAGUCGAGCGGAAGAAGGGAGUUUGCAUCUGUAUUUAGCGGCGGACGGGUGGGUAAUGCCUAGGUAUCUGCCUGGCAGUGGGGGCUGAGGUACGGAAACGGGAGCUAAUAUCGUAUAGGUUCGGAGGGAGAGAGUGGGUGUUCUUGGGAUUACAGGCUUUCGGAUGAGCCUGGGUCGGAUUAGCUAGUUGGUGUGGUAAAGGCCUAGCAAGGCGACGAUCCGUAACUGAUCGGAGAGGAUGAUCAGUUACACUGCAACUGAGACACGAUACAGACCCCUACGGUAGGCAACAGAGCGGAAUAUUAGACAAUUGAAGAGAGCCUAAUCCAACCCAGCCGCGUGUCUGAAGAAAGUAUUCGGAUUGUAAAUCUAUUUAAGUUGUAUAGAAGGACAGUAAGUUCAAACCUUGCUGUUUUGACGGUACCAAAAGAAUAAGCACCGGCUAACUCCGUG
rnacentral:rRNA from 1 species